rnacentral:lncRNA from 1 species
UGGUAUUGUGAUUCAUCCCUUGCAUCGCAUAUCUAACUCACAUGCUCAAUUCGUGUCAUCUCUCUGUGUAUGCCUAGUCCAUAUUCCACCGUGGGUCUGAUCAGUAUACAUUUCUGAUACUGCAAUAGCAUGCUUCGUUACAAUUCGCGAAGUGCCAGUGUCCAGAAGAUGGAUUGUGUAUGCAGUAACGAAGUUGAAUUGUCGGGUAGCCCAAAUUGAAAAUUCUACUUACUGCAGUGUGAUAGAUCCGGCCACUCCGCGUAGCCAGUACCGCAGUAUACGAGGGUAUUGUCAACAUAGACCACAAAUGUAAAUUGUGAAGUAAAAUCACCAUGUAUUGAUCUUCAGGUAUGGCGCCGACCGACCGAAGUACUUAGGCCCCUUGUCCGGUGAGACCCCAUCAUACCUCACUGGUGAAUUCGCUGGAGACUACGGCUGGGACACCGCUGGACUCUCCUCCGACCCCGAGACCUUCGCCCGCAACAGGGAGCUCGAGGUCAUCCACGCUCGCUGGGCUAUGCUUGGUGCUCUCGGGUGCGUAACUCCCGAACUGUUGGCCAAAAACGGUGUGAAAUUCGGCGAAGCUGUGUGGUUCAAGGCCGGAUCCCAGAUCUUCAGCGAGGGAGGUCUUGAUUACUUGGGCAACCCCAGCCUAGUGCACGCCCAGAGCAUCCUGGCCAUCUGGGCUUCCCAGGUGAUUUUGAUGGGAGCUGUGGAGGGUUACCGUGUUGCUGGAGGACCCCUGGGCGAGGUGACAGACCCCAUCUACCCCGGAGGCUCAUUCGACCCCUUGGGUUUGGCUGACGACCCCGACACCUUCGCAGAGUUGAAGGUGAAGGAGAUUAAGAACGGACGAUUGGCCAUGUUCUCGAUGUUCGGGUUCUUCGUCCAGGCGAUCGUGACCGGAAAGGGCCCAUUGGAGAACCUGAGCGACCACUUGGCCGACCCAGUUGCCAACAACGCAUG